ACAAGGACACACACAUACACAUACUUAUACAAGUUUUCUUUCACUAGCUAGUAGCUACUCACUUACCCUUACUCUCUCAUCUUACUUCUACAAUCUAGAUUCACUUACACAAGCAAUCCACUCCAUCAUUAGACUCCAACCACUCUUAACUGUUCAGACUUAACACCCUUUUCUAACUUAGUACUUAGCUCAGACAACAACACACUCUUUCUUUUCAUUUGGGCCUUAGUUUAUUCGGAGCCCAUUACUAAAAACAACCCUAAGCCCAUAAUCUUUUUGUUGACUUUUCUUCUUCUUCUUUGACUCCCUUCUUCUUCGACGCUUUUCUUCUUCUUCAACCAAGUUUCUUCUUCUUCUUCUCCUCACUGUAAUUCUUUUGAUUCUUAAUCAUCUUCUCUUUCUCAAUUGCAGGUUCAAUCGGAGACUUAACCUUCAACACUCCCUCUUGAGUUUUCGAUUGAAACUCUCAAUUCCAAGUUAGGAUUUUGAAUCUUGAUAUCUUCCCUUCGCCACUACUGGUUCCUUUUCGCUUGAUCGGAUGCGAGCUUUUCAAGACAUCGGCAUAAGUCAUCGAUAAUCAGGAUGGAAAUUUAUGUCGCCAAACUUGAUGGCAUAAUCUGGAUGAAGGCUCAUGUCUCCAAUCUUGAUGACGUUCGUUUUUCCAACCGGAGAUUUCUUCUCUAGUCCACUUUUUCUCCCUCUUAAUCUCAGUUUCAGAAUUUCUCUGGUUCUUAACUUCAAUCACUGAUUUUCCCUUCACAACUUUAUCUCCAUGCUUCUUAGCUUGAUACAUCACAGAUUUGUUUUUGUUUUCAACAUUCUUCUUAGUACACCAAGCAACCAUUGUUGCUUCUUCAUUCUCUGGCAUCUUAAGAUGAUAACUCUUUUUGAUCAUUGGCACCUCAGCUAUCUUCCUUCCAGCGGGAUCAUGAAUGCUCCAUUACCUACAUGGAUAGGAACAUUGAAGCUUGUGUUGAGGUUAAUGAACAGUUUCUCCUGUGAGGUCAUGUGAUUUGUGCAUCCACUAUCAAUGAGCCAGACAUUUUCUUCUAGUGUUUCUUCAUCCUCUUGUCUUGCUGUGAACAUAUGUUUGCAGUCAUUUAUUAGAUGACCUACCUUGCCACAGCGGAAACAGCUUCUGGUUUCUCUGUUUGUGUUAAAAUUCGAUUUCGAAAAUGUGCAUGGAAGGCUCCUUCUGCUUCUUCUUCAUCCUCAGGAAAGAAUUUCUUCUCAUGUGCCUCAAGAGAUCCAACCAGCUCAGCAUAGAGCCCUCAUCUGAUUUGCUACAGCCUGAAUCCUAUCAGAGAGUGCUCUAGCAGCUUCCAUGCUUGAUGUGCUGAGGUUGCUGAGAGAAUCUUGUCAAACACCACAUCUGCCACUCCAUGUUGAAGAAUUUGAAGAGCUGCAGUAUCCUUAGCUUUGAGUGCCUUCAAGUUUGCAGCUUCUUUGGUCUUGUCUGCUCCUGGAGUCUCUGGUGACUGAGAUCCCGGAUCUGGAACUCCAUCUUUUACUACCUCCCACAGAUCUUUGUUCAUCAGGGUUGUUUUCAUUCUUGCUGCCCAGAACUCAUAGUUCUGUCCAUCAAAAACAGCAACAAGUUGUGAAGAUUGCAAGGCUCCAAGAUCAAGUGUGCUCUGAUACCAUGUUGCAAGUCUCAAAUUUUACUCAGGUUCAAUCGGAGACUUAACCUUCAACAAAUGGUUAUCAGAAGGACUAGGUUUAAGGCGUGAGGCAUUGAAGGAAGGUCU